ACUCAAAUGAAUUGACGGGGGCCCGCACAAGCGGCGGAGCAUGUUGCUUAAUUCGACGCAACGCGAAGAACCUUACCAAGGCUUGACAUUGCCGGAAAUCCAUCAGAGAUGGUGGGUCCUUUUUGGGCCGGUGACAGGUGGUGCAUGGCUGUCGUCAGCUCGUGUCGUGAGAUGUUGGGUUAAGUCCCGCAACGAGCGCAACCCUCGUUCCAUGUUGCCAGCACGUUAUGGUGGGGACUCAUGGGAGACCGCCGGGGUCAACUCGGAGGAAGGUGGGGAUGACGUCAAGUCAUCAUGCCCCUUAUGUCUUGGGCUGCAAACAUGCUACAAUGGCCGGUACAGAGGGCUGCGAUAUCGUGAGGUUGAGCGAAUCCCUUAAAGCCGGUCUCAGUUCGGAUCGAAGUCUGCAACUCGACUUCGUGAAGUCGGAGUCGCUAGUAAUCGCAGAUCAGCAACGCUGCGGUGAAUACGUUCCCGGGCCUUGCACACACCGCCCGU
rnacentral:rRNA from 1 species